rnacentral:rRNA from 1 species
GCAUAUCAAUAAGCGGAGGAAAAGAAACCAACAGGGAUUGCCCUAGUAACGGCGAGUGAAGCGGCAAUAGCUCAAAUUUGAAAGCUGGCCUUCUGGUCCGCAUUGUAAUUUGUAGAGGAUGCUUUUAGGCAGCCGCCGGUCUAAGUUCCUUGGAACAGGACGUCAUAGAGGGUGAGAAUCCCGUAUGUGACCGGCUCAGGCACCUUCUGUAAAGCUCCUUCGACGAGUCGAGUUGUUUGGGAAUGCAGCUCUAAAUGGGAGGUAAAUUUCUUCUAAAGCUAAAUACUGGCGAGAGACCGAUAGCGCACAAGUAGAGUGAUCGAAAGAUGAAAAGCACUUUGGAAAGAGAGUUAAAAAGCACGUGAAAUUGUUGAAAGGGAAGCGCUUGCAAUCAGACUUGGCCUAGAGUGUUCAACCGGUCUUCUGACCGGCCUAUUCAUUCUGGGCCAGGCCAGCAUCAGUUUUGGCGGCCGGAUAAAGGCCUUGGGAAUGUGGCUUUCUCUUCGGGGGAAGUGUUAUAGCCCAGGGUGUAAUACGGCCAGCCGGGACUGAGGUCCGCGCUUCGGCUAGGAUGCUGGCGUAAUGGUUGUAAGCGGCCCGUCUUGAAACACGGACCAAGGAGUCUAACAUCUAUGCGAGUGUUAGGGUGUCAAACCCUUACGCGUAAUGAAAGUGAACGGAGGUGGGAACCCGCAAGGGUGCACCAUCGACCGAUCCUGAUGUCUUCGGAUGGAUUUGAGUAAGAGCAUAGCUGUUGGGACCCGAAAGAUGGUGAACUAUGCCUGAAUAGGGUGAAGCCAGAGGAAACUCUGGUGGAGGCUCGCAGCGGUUCUGACGUGCAAAUCGAUCGUCAAAUUUGGGUAUAGGGGCGAAAGACUAAUCGAACCAUCUAGUAGCUGGUUCCUGCCGAAG